AGAUGCUAUGGCGUAUUGCGAGUGCUGCUUGGUGGUACACGCGUCUGUGAACAAGAAAGGAAUAGAAUUGUUGAAUAGUUAGUGUGAGAGACCACUGUGAGCCGGCCAAUUGCUACUAAAACAGCCCAUCGUAUUUUGCAAAAGAGAAAAGACGCAUUUGAAAAGGAUGUUUAAGGUAGUGCGUAAUCAACGCUCUUAAUUUUACGAUGAAUCAUUCAGCGUCUACUAACGGAAAAUUACAUAAAUGCUCCUGAAAACGCCACGACAAAGGAAUCUGGUGGAACUAAAAAUGUGCACACUAUCGUAAUCCACAUUUUUUUGGUAUUUUUCCUCAGGUUUAAUUUAGUGGCGCCAAAGAAAAGACUUGUUUGCUCAGUGCAUUCAUCAACGCACAACCACUCGAUGUUCUGAGCUCUAGAUUUUGCCUCGAUACAUAAAUUACUUGCAAAAAUCGAUGUCGAUUUCGCAGCCCCAAUUCGCUAUUCCGUAUACGGAACUAUAGUAUGCGCAGUUAGGCAUAGUAAGUAGUUGCUGUUAACCUGAAAACUCUUCAAACCGUGGAACAUCCAUCGGAACAGCCAGCAACCAGUUCAUUAGGAUAUCUUACGUGAGCAUUUUAAAAUAUUUUUUAUGAUUGUUCCGGACAAAGUAAUAAACAUUUUUUUAAUAAUAAAUUUGCCCACUUAUAGCAGAGAAUAA